rnacentral:tRNA from 1 species
UAGCUCAGUUGUUAGAGCAUGGCGCUUGCAGUGCCAGGUUUGUGGGUUUGAUUCCCAU